rnacentral:rRNA from 1 species
CCUACGGGUGGCAGCAGUCGAGAAUUUUUCUCAAUGGGGGAAACCCUGAAGGAGCGACGCCGCGUGGAGGAUGAAGGUCUUCGGAUUGUAAACUCCUGUCAUUUGAGAACUAGUAUCAGAAGAGGAAGAGACGGCUAACUCUGUGCCAGCAGCCGCGGUAAUACAGAGGUCUCAAGCGUUGUUCGGAUUCAUUGGGCGUAAAGGGUGCGUAGGCGGUCGGGUAAGUCGGAUGUGAAAUCCUGAGGCUCAACCUCAGAACUGCAUUCGAUACUGCUUGGCUAGAGGACUGGAGAGGAGAGUGGAAUUCACGGUGUAGCAGUGAAAUGCGUAGAUAUCGUGAGGAAGACCAGCGGCGAAGGCGGCUCUCUGGACAGUCCUGACGCUGAUGCACGAAGGCCAGGGGAGCAAACGGGAUUAGAUACCCUUGUAGUC